CUAAAAACUAAUUCGAACACUUCGCCACUAAAAUUUAGAAAAUCCUAACAUCACUCUCGCAGAUUUGAAAGCAUGUAAAUCUUGCUUAUAUAAAUCUUGAUUUUAUCCAACAAUUAUGGUUGACCCGUUUAUAAAACAUACGUGACCCUUUUGUAUGGACAUAACCUGAACAUGGAUGUCUAGAAUUAAUGAAAAGAAAGGAGAUGUAACAGAAUUCAAGUGAGUUCGUUGUGUAUACUGUAACUGAAGAAUCUGUAGUACAGAAACUAAAGCCUAAAGGAGAUGCCACCCCCUUGAAGAUCUUCGAAUCGAGUUAUCAAAUAAAAGAAGGGACAAACAUUAAAAAUGCAUCCAAAUAUUUUGUAGAUGGAGCUAACGAAGACGUUGUCUUACAUCUAGCGUGCGUAUCUCAAGUGAAGAUCCCGAACACAGGUUAUGUCUAUUGUUUUGAAAAAAUAAUUUACUUUGUUUAUCCGUACAUGGUUUAGCCUAUAGAGGAAAUGGUGAUAGUAAUGGAAGGAUGGGUCAUUUGUCACAUUAGGUUCAGGUUGGGUAAUUGGGUAGCUGUCAAUUUGUGUUGAACGAGUUGUGUAAUUGGAUAACUGUUAAUUUUGAGUUAAACGGUAACUAUGAAGGAUGGGCCAUUUGGGUUGCACGAGGUUCGGGUUAGGUUAGGUAACUAUUGGCAGUUUGGCACAGUUAGUUUGUGUUGAAUGACAACUAUAGCAUCAGGCUAUGUUUUAGGAUUUAUGAGCAGUCAUGUGUUGCACCAGAAUGACAACGGAAUAUAAAUUUAGCUGAAAUAUUAUAUACUUGUAUAACCUUAUAUUUAUGUAUUCUAUGGCAUCAAAAUUUCUUUUACCGUUUUUCGCAAGCGUGUCACACGAAGAUUUAGUGAUGGUGAGCCUCUCACAGCCAAUCAUCUCCAACUUGACAAGGUCACGAUGAGUUGGAAUCCCAUGUUAAUUCUAACUAAGGAUUCUUGUAGUUCUGGAGGAUCCAACUACCAUUUCCGUCGGAAAUUAUCUGGCAAAUUUGGAUUAUUCAGGGCGGGCUCAAUAGAUAAUGGGGAUGGAAUAGCGGUUGGAUGGUUAGGACAUCCUAUCUUUAGAGAUAAAGAAGUGCGUGAAUUGUUUGUACACAGGCGAGGUCUCUGGUUCAAGUCCAGGAUGGCCCAGCUGCGUCAGGAAAAAUAAUAGAAGAAACGUCUUAAUCCUUCAAGUACACUUGAUAUACUUGAAGCCCAGUCAAAAUAUGGUUUUUGGGGAUGGAAUUUGUGGCGUCAACCUAUGGGAUUUCAAGUUAUUCUAAGUACUUGGGAAUUUGUGGCGUCAACCUAUAGGAUUUCUAGUUCAAAAAAAUCCUAUCUAAUGGCGAGAUGGUUGAAGAGGUGACAAAACCUUAUACCUUUCAUUACAAAACCAAUAAACUAUACUAAAGGUUUAGAAGACCUAGGUCCUAUUCGUUAGACAAUGGAUGCUUUUCAUUGCGAUUUUGGGUACUUUCUUAUGAUCUUCUAUUUUAUUUAUUGUAAUUCAAGACCGUUUUAGCAUUUGAUGUAAUUCCCUAUUUCAUUCCGGAAUGGGGUGUUACAAUAACAGUAAUUAAUCUUUUUGUCUAAGGAGGUUUUUAAUUUAUGUGUUUUAUUCAA